rnacentral:rRNA from 1 species
GAUGAACGCUGGCGGCGUGCCUAAUACAUGCAAGUCGAGCGAACAGACGAGGAUCUUUCUCCUCUGACGUUAACGGCGGAGGGGUGAGUAACACGUGGAUACCCUACCUAUAAGACUGGGAUAAAUUCGGGAAACAGGAGCUAAUACCUGAGAAUUUAUUAAACCGCCUGGUUCAAUCGUGCAAUACGGUUUUGCUGUCGCUUAUAGAUGGUUCCGCGCCGCAUUAGCUAGUUGGUAAGGUAACGGCUUACCAAGGCAACGUUGCGUAGCCGAACUGAUAGGGUGGUCAGCCACACUGGAACUGAGACACCGUCCAGACUCCUACGGAAGGCAGCAGUAGGGAAUCGUGCGCAAUGGGCGAAAGCCUGACGGAGCAGCGCCGAGGGCGGGACGAAGGUCGUCGGAUCGUAAAACUAUGUUAUUAGGGAAGAAAAAAUGUGUAAGGAACAAUGCACGAAUUGACGGUACCUAAUCAGAAAGCCACGGCUAACUACGUG